AGCGGAUUUCCUUUUGAUUUAAACUUAAAUCUGAUUGAAUCAAGAGUAUUUUUUCUUGUCAAUGUUUUCAAGAGUCUGGACUCUAGAUCCAAUGUGUUUUUUUUUCCAGUGCAGUAGACGUAAUUACGGGCUUAUAGCACUACCGUGUGUUGAGGGUCAGGAGACCGUAAGUCAUUCAGGAGCCAGAGCAUAGGCCUCUGAGUUGGGAGUUCUUUUUGCAACAGGUUUAGAGGCCGUUGCCUACGGAUCCUGAAUGGGGAACUUACGGUCUACUCACCCGCAACGCACGAUGGUGCUAUACAACCCGUAAUUACCGCUCCCGGAGCCGCAGUUUUUUAAACGUAGUCGAAAUGGUCUAAUUAAUUAUAUCUCGUCACAGGCAAAUGAGGAAGACAUGCUGAAACCACUCUACUCUGGACUCGCCGCGAGCAUUUACAUCGAGUUGACAAAGCUGUCCGGAGGUCAACCAAUCCCUGACGUCAUCAAAGGUCAAGAUAUAUUCUGGAAAGACCACUACAACACGAACGGAGGCAAGCACGGCGAUUUCGAGAAGCGAGCACACGAGCUCCUCGAAAAGACAUGUGUGCAACCGGCGGGAAGAUAGACGUCAUGAUGGUCGUCGAUGGAAGCGCGAGUAUAGGCCAGCCCGCUUUUCAGACAGCCCUCGAUUCCUUGGCUCGCUUGGUGGGCAUCUUCGACCUCCAGGAGGCAAACGUCGGCAUGGUCACCUACUCAAACACAGUGACCAGUCUGAUUCCGCUGGUGAACAAUUUCACCACGGCCAGACUCCAGGAGGCUAUCCAAAAGACGCCUUAUCCGAAUAAAAGCACGAACACUUACAUCGGUAUGAUGGGAGCUAUCGGCGAAUUUAGGAACUUAUCAGAAACUCGGGCGGAGAGAGGUGUUCCAAGACUGUUGGUCGUCUUGACCGACGGAUGUCACAUUGCAGGACCCGAUCCAGGCAUCGCAGCGAGGGAAGCUGCCAAAGAAGGUAUCACAACCUGUGCUUUCGGAAUCGGCAAUGAUAUUGACGACGUGGAGCUCCUCGAAAUUGCGAAUAAUAAAUCUGAUUACAAGUUCAGGACUGACUCUUACUACUCGCUGCAACAGCAGAUAGUUCUCAUCGCUCGGCGGGUGAAGACCAUUCCGCAGACGCUCAAGAUGGGGUUUGAAACGAGCGACACACUCAAGGAGGCUGACGAGAAGAGGUUCUAUAGCUUGAAGGUGUCAAAAAGGGGUACAACGAUCAGAUUGCUCAACGAAAGAGGUGAAUCGAGUGGCUACUGGACUUACGCCGACGAGCGACCGUCCAGCGCACUCUAUGAUGGGGUUAUAUGCGGAGGGGAUACGUUCAUUCCGCCUCCGCAACCUGCUCCCGGAAAUCGAGAGGACACUACAAGAAACUCCUCGAUGAGUGAUUUGAAAAUUGCAAUAGAGAGCAUUGAGCCGAAUAGCAGCCUGAGUAUGUGGAGCCUUGAAGGAGAUGCCACUGGAUCUACGGCCGUCAAUCUUGACUUUGCGUGUUUUGGGCAUGUUGUUGUUUAUACUUUCGCUGCUGUUUUUUUGAAAUAGGUGAUCCUUGCAACAAGAAGACGUCUCGGUUAUGAUAUCCAGGGGUAAAAAAUGAUUCAUCUAAAGAUAUUGGGUGGAGCGGACUUACGACGAUACAAUUCAUUAAUACAUUCGAACGUGUUUUUGGUGGAAUGAAGUAUCUCCCAAAAUUCGACAAUUUUGAAAUUCAAAAAUUGCAUUAAACCACGUACAGCUCAGAGAAUCAGUAUUCUUGUGCACAAUAUCCGAGGUAUAGCUUCAGAGAUGAGUUGGAUCGAUCUAAAUCAAUUUUUUGAACUUGCAAAUCCGCUAGUUGUUGAUUUUUUUGCGCUAUACGUCAAAUCCACUUGACUGUCUUGUCUCGGAAAAAUUAAGAGAGGUGAUUAGUUUAUUAUUUAUCUAAUGCAUUUUCACAUGUAGGUAUUGCUAUAAUUGCUUCUCCCUCGGAAUUAUUUGCCCUACUCUUUUUUGUCACGUUUUAUUUUUUAUAUCAUCGAAAAAAAGCUAAGCCUAGGAUUUUUUUGCUUAAAACUCAGUUGUGAUCCUGAGCUAUGAUCAAAUUUCGCGCCAUCACACCCACCUUCCAGCGGAAAAUUGUUUUUGAGGAUUAGCAGUUGUACAUAUACAGAAAAGUCAAGAAAUUUGACAGAGGGGCUCAUUAUUAAUCGAAAAUUCCGACACCAUGUCGCAGCCCCCUGUGUCGACGCUCGUUAUGUUCUGAACGGGAAAAACGAACACGUGAUGUCUCCUGUUCGGAGGGAUGGUUAAUAAUGACGAAAUGACUAUCGCAUAUUAUAUGUAUAUAUCUUCAAUUUCUCAAUCUUUAAAUUUUCCCUAUGGUUCAUUUAAGGUUUUUACCGGGCCAGAUCUCGUUAUUUUUACGGUGAAUGGCAUGUAAUCUCCUGGUCCUGGUAAUUGCGCUUUCAAAUUGUUCAUAAAUAACCUAGAUUUUCCAAUAUUACGAGAUGAAAUUGAACAUUUUCCAAUUAUGCAAUAUACAUUGUCAUUUUUCGUGAUUCUUUGUUUCGGAGAUAUUUUGCGCUGAUUUCCAUGAUUUUGGCAGCUGCAAACCUGUAGAAAAUGCAGCUUUCUUUAAACUUUGAAAUAUGAAGUAGGAAUAAGCGCAUUAUGAGGAUUAGACCGCGAAGCAGCCAGGGGGCGCGGCCCUUAAUUUAUACGUGUCGCGUAACAUCUUAGAUAUCGAGCAUUCAAGUGCCUAAUUAUUUUAAGUGACCGCCGAACCACUUGAAGAUUAUCAUUUAGGUACAUUAGACCGUUUAUAUGUAUAGUUCGCGGUGAGAGGUAACUCAGCAGGUAGGCGGGCCACUUCAUUCUCGUCAAAAUAAAUAUCCGAUUCUCACCAAAUUAUCAGACAACAGUCUACCGACCUUGAAGUGCACCCCCCCCCCCCCCCAUAAAUAAAAAUUUGGGACUUUACUUAACUACUACUCCUACUUCAUAAAUUAUUCCUAUUAUGUGCGAGUCAAGAUAACGUGUACUUCAAAUCGUUCGGAGUUACUUGAACUCCUAGUGGAUUCAUCCGUUGUGAUGGAGAGCCCCACUGCCCAACCCCUCCACUCUUGUGACACAUUCUUUUUUAAGCGUCGAUACACUGAGAAAAAUUUCCAGCUAACAAUUCUCGACGAGUAUUUUUGUUGAUUCAACCAGAAAUCUCUUUAAAGUGACAAGACGUCUCUUUGGAAUAAAAUAAAUGCUUAUCGUUUGAAACACGGAGAUUUCCUGUUAAAUCAACGAGAAUUCUUGUCCGGUAAUUACAAUUUGGAAUAUUUAUUGAUCCAACAGAAAGUUUUUCUCUAUGUAUAGUUCUCCGAGUCACGCAUAGAGUCGUGUAUCUCACUCCUGUUUGGAGUCGUUCAUCUUGGCCCUUGAUCGUGUGAACUAUUCUUUCUUUUAGUUAUACCACCCUAAAAAGCAUUGGCUGUUAUGAAAAAAAAAUUAAACAACUUGCAAAUUUCAAAGCAAGAGAUUUUUUUAAGAAACCGUUCAAAAAUCCUGGUUGGAAACCCCUUCAGUUGCUCUUUUUACGUAAAAAUGCAAAUUAUCAUUUUUGCAAUUUUUUAUUUUAGCAAAUUUUAACAUACAUUUUCAAAGUAUCUUUCGUACAGAAAAUUUCAGUCUUUCAUGCUGCAUAUUUUGCAAUCCUAUUUUGUGUUCAGCAUCAAUAUGUGUAAAUUUUAGAAUUUAAAAAGAUUUUAAUAUCCGUUUUUUCCGUACAUCUUUUCUGACAAAAAUUUCUCCUGAAUCUAAAUUUGAAAGGAACAAAAAUGGUUUCCUGUGUUUUACAUUUUAAUAAUUUUAGUAUACGUUUUUUGAAGUCUGGAUUCGGCAGUCAAUGCUAGAAAGGCUUUCUCAUUCCAAGUAAAAAGCCUAUUUAUAACAAUUGGAGCCGGGUCUUUACGGGUGAGAACUGGCUCCAUAGGAUCCGCCGAAGUCGUGUGUUCCUUUAUGAUGAGGGACUUCAUUCGUCCCUAGGCCUAUAACGAGAGCAUGUUCGGCGAGGAUUCGUGGACCUACUGCGCUGGCUCCCACCUAGGCGUUUGGCAGACAAAUCGGUUCAAUUACACCCACACCGACGGCCCCUAUCAAGGCAGCAGUCCAAAGCUUAAGAGCAUCCACGAACCGAUCAAGAGGAGCAUGGGUAUUGAUUGGAUGCAGGUAAAGUUAGUAGACAAUUGACUAAAACUGGAUAGGUCUAUUAAAAUUAAAGAUAUCAGGGCAAUAAAUUAUGCGAUACAAUUUAUAAAUUGAGAUUUCAAUGGUGAGCAGAAACACGUUCAAAAGCGAUGUUAAAUCGCCCAAUUUUGUUUGAUGAAAGGAGAUUCAACUAACGCUUUUUUGAAAACUAAUGGAUUAUUUUUCACACAAGAGAGAAAAAAUUUGGGGAAGUUUUCAAGAAAUGACGUUUAGUUUUUGUUAAUUUGUAAAAUACGUUAUGAAACGUAUUGAAAUAUAAAAACACAAUUUUCGGUUUUCGGCUACUAAUAAUGCAAAAACAAAAGUUGAGCUAUUUGCCGACUUUAAAAAUAUAUGCAAUGAUUGCAAGUUGUAAAUAUAUGAAUAUCCUCUUGCACAUUGAUUUUUUAUUAAAGCAGGGUCUGAGUCGCAAUCAUUGCAUAUAUUUGUAAAGUCGGCUAAUAGCUUAAAUUUUGUUUUUGAAAUAUAAAUUAUACUCAGGCAACAUUACGAAUAAGACAAACGACACAACAUGAAAUUAGAGCAAGGUAAAAGACGUUCAUUGAUGAAGGCGCAGAGAUACCACUAUUCGUGCUUGAUAGAUGACCGUGUUGCAUCUGCAAAAUUGAAGGCGCGAUGGUGCGAGGCAUGAAUGCCAAGACAUUUUGAGAACAGAAUGCUCUCAGUUCUUAAAUAAAAGCCAGAAUUUUAUGACACACGUGGCCUUAUCAAAUAAUCAAGAUGUCAUAUCAAAUUUUGUAUAGACUACUCUGAAUUGUGCUCUCUUUAUUUGUUCCUCCAUAGGCUGUAUGGAGGACUGUACUGUCACAGGUUUAGUAAUCCUGCGGACCUCGUCUGGUAGCCUCUGCCUCAAAGGGGGUUGUCAGGGUGGUUUCGCCUGGUAUGUCUUGUUCUCUUUAAAAUCAUCCUUGCUGUCGGUUAUCAAUCAAUCGGUCGAUUAUGUCGUCGGUCCUGCUGCCAAUUUUCAAGUUUCAACUUUUUUUUUUUUUUUUUUUUUUUUUUUUUUUUUUUUUUUAAAAAAUAAUUGUCACGCAGUCUUUUUUAGUUAUUGCAUUAAUUAGAUCAUCAUGUAACGUUAUUCCUCCAAUAAUUUCAAUAACAUAUCUAUUGAUUUGUUUCAGAGAAAAGCAUGGACAUGUGAAAGCUUGAUUUUCAACGUUGAGUUUUGCAAAAAUAAAUAUGGCCUCACUAAUCCAUUAGCAGCAUACUUUUUCUUAGUAGAUUUGGACGAUUCUUAUCCAGAAGACAUCAUACAACCAUUACAGAACUUAAAAAACUUGGAAAAAUGACGUAUUACGUUAUCAUUUGUUUGUAUACCAUAAAUUUGUUUAGCAAUGUUGUAAUUUCUUUUUGUGUUUUAAUUAAAAGUAUGAACAAGAUAAAAUAUCAUAAGAUUCUGUACGAA
rnacentral:lncRNA from 1 species